UCUUUGCUAGUAUAUCGGUUAGUACACGCGCCUGUCAUUAUCUCUCUCUGAUAUAAUGGUCGCGCGAAAGCUGGGUUCGACUCCCAGGCAAAGAG